GCAGAGCAAACAUGCCGAGCCCUGACGCCGGCAGACGGUUGGCACGCUUAUCUGCCCUGCCGCACCCCAUGAUGAAGGCCAUACGCUCUCCAUGAUAAACAGAAUCUGGGUCGUUUUGGACUACCAAGUCCUGCUAAGUCUGCGCCACCUCAAU